UCUUCUCUGGUAUAUCGGUAGAACAUCACCCUGUCAAACCCCUGGUAGUACAACCAGGUUUGCACCCCGGUGAAGAGCUGGGUUCGACUCCCAGGAGGAGAG